rnacentral:lncRNA from 1 species
AAAGUUGAAAUAGAUGGUAUACACGUUCAUAUUAGAUUUUUCAAGCUACAAAUCCUUAUAUUUCUACGGUAUAUGACAUGUAUUAUUGAAGUUGGUCGAAGAAGUUGUUUUAAGCCAAACAUAUCAAUAAGGUAUCUACCAUUUGAUUUUUAUAAGGGGUGAUGAAAUUUAGCCGAAAAGGCAGGACAGGAGAUUUGAGUAAAAAAAGGCCGGAUGAACAUCUUGGCCAAACAAAAAGGCAGGAUGACAAUUUACGUUAAAAAAAAUCAGGAUGAAAAAAAACCGGUUGAAAAAAAGCAGGACCGAAUAGAGUAAAAAUAAAAACGCAGGAUAGAGAUUUCAACAUAAAAAAUGCAAGACAAAAUAAUUCAUCCUAGCCCCUCCCCC